GGACAAUCUUUCUUUUUUCAUCUAUUCUCACCGUAACUUUUUAAACUAAACAGUCGAUAGAGACCAUCCAUCUUCGCAAUCUCACCCAUCCACUCUCUCAUGACCACAACCAAAUAUAGGAUAAAUGUUUAAUGGUGUAACCGUGUAUUAGUUUAAAAUCUAAUCUUUGAGAGAGGAGGAAAAUGGAGUGCUGUGGUUUGGGUCUACUAAUCUAGAGGCUGUGGGUGGUGGCAGUGUUACUUCCUUUACAAGUCUUACACCUCCUAUAGCUCUGACGCCUAUGGCCGGGUGGGUCAAAUCCCUCAGGCCUUGGGGGGUUGGCCACUUCACUCAUUUAGGCCAGUUGAUAACACAACACAAGAUCCAAUGGAUGCUCGUCGAGCCCAGCUGCAGAUGCUUCAGCAAGCUAGCGAUUUCUGCAUUUUGAUUUAUGAUGUUGCAGGAACUCAAUGAGCGAUUGUGCCUAUCUUGGUGUCCUCGUGUGGCUUUGGGAGCCGAGUGAUAACAACAUUGAUGCAAGGAAAACAAACU
rnacentral:lncRNA from 1 species